rnacentral:lncRNA from 1 species
AAAAAAAAAAAAAAUUCUCUUCUGGACAUGAGUUUCUGGGAAGCUGGGAUUAUUCUAAAUCUUCAUCUUGGUGCUAGUGAUAGGAGAGUGUUUGUCACAAUUCAUCAAAAACAUGUUUAUGAUACGAGCCCUUUCUGUUUGCUUCUUAAAGGUCAAUGAAGAGUUUAAAAACAAGGAUCCUCCCUUCCUUCAGUGACUUGACCUUGCAAUCUCAUAGCCAAGAAAAGCACACAAUGGCUUAUGGAAACACAUUUUAAAAAUACUAACAUAUGCAGAAAUGACUAUUUAGUCAAAUAGAAAUGACUAUUUGGCAAGCAGGUGUGCUAAGAAUUUAAGGAAUUCAAGCACCCUUUGUAUAAUGUUACAAUCUAAAUAAAUUUACUUAAUAUGUGACAAAAUGCAGUGGAGACAAAAUUCUUGCUAACCUGCACAAGGAUGUUGCUCAUUUUUUCAACCAAUCAUACUUGGAGGAAGACUUGAAAAAACUCAGUGACACAAAAUACACCUUUUGAAAAUAAUAAUUCACAUUUUUUUCUUGUUACUGAGCUCUAAUUGAUUGUAAUGUCAUAUUAGUUUCAGGCAUAAGCACAGUAAUUCAGUUACACACAUAUCUUUCCAGAUUCUUUUCCCUUGUAGGUUUUUUUCCCCAUUUUUCUAAAGUUUCAUUGAGGUAUAUUGAUUUACAGUGUUGUGAUAAUUUUUGCUGUACAACAAAGUGACCCAGUCAUAUAUGUACACAUCUCCACUCUCUCUGAUUCUUCUCCCACAUGGAUGAUCACAGAAUAUUGGGUAGAGUUGUCUGUGCUCUACGGCAGAUCCCCGUUGGCCAGUCAUUCCACGUACCUCUGUGUGGAUAUGCCAGACCCCCAGUCCAUCCCUCCCCCACCACCUGUCCCUUUUCCCUUAUAGGUUAUUAAAAAAAUUCUGCAUAUAGUUCCCUGUGCUGUACAAUAGAUCCUUACUGGUUAUUUGUUUUAUGCGUUAAUCCCAACCUGCUAAUUUAUCCCUCCCCCUUUCCCCUUUGGUGACCAUAAGUUGGUUGUCUGAGUCUCCUGUUUUAUAAAUGAGUUCCUUUUUUUUUUUUAAGAUUUCACAUAUAACUGAUAUCAUAUGAUAUUUGUCUGGCUUAGUAUGAUCAUCUCUAAGUCCAUCCAUGUUGCUGCAAAUGACAUUAUUUCAUUUUUUGGACAUACAGGUUGCCUUACGGCAAUGAACACUGAGGUGCAUGUGUAGAUUAGAGUUUUUGUCGGAUAUCUGCCUAGGAGUGGGACUGCAGGCUCAUGUGGUAGUUCUAUUUUUAGUUGUUUAAGGAACUUCCACACUGUUCUGCACAAUUUACAUUUCCACCAGGAGUGUAGGAGAGUUCCCUUUUCUCCACACCCUCUCCAGCAUUAAUUUGUAGACUUUUCAAUGAUGAUGGUUCUGACUGGAGUGAGGUGAUACCCCAUUAUAGUUUUGAUUUGCAUUUCUCUAAUCAUUAGAGAUGUUGAGCAUCUUUUCAUGUGGUUUUUGGCCAUCUCUCUGUAUGUCUUCUUGGGAGAAAUGUCUCUCUCAGUCUUUUGCCUAUUUUUUGAUUGGGCUGUUUGUUUUUGGCCGUACCUACGGCACAUGGAAGCUCCCAGGCCAAAGUUCAAAUCCAAGCUGCAUCUUUGACUUAGGUCACGGCUACAGCAAUGCCCAAUCCUUAACCCACUGCUCUGGGCCCAAGAUGGAACAGGCAGCACCACAGAGACAAGCCAGAUCAUUAACCCACUGGACUCCUGUGGGAACUCCUGUUUUUUUUUGAAUAUCGAGCUGCAUGAGUAGUUGAUAUAUUUUUGGUGAUUACUCCCUCAUCAGUCACUUCAUUUGCAGGUAUUUUCUUCCAUUCCGAUACCUGCUGUGGGUCAUCUUUUCGUUUUGUUUAUGGUGUCCUUUGCUGUGCAGAAAGUUAAGUUUACUUGGGUCCCAUUUGGUUUUGGUUUUAUUUUCAUUACUCUAGGAGGUGGCUCUGAAAAGGUACUGCUUUGGUUUAUGUCUGAGAGUGUUCUGCCUAUGUUUUCCUCUAAGAGGUUUAUAGUUUUCUGGCCUGCAUUUAGGUCUUUGAUCCAUUUUGAGUUUAUUUUUCAGCCUGCUGUUAGUGUCCUAAUUUCAUUCUUUUACCUGUAGCUGUCCAGUUUUCCCAGCAUCAGUAACUGAAGAGGCUGUCUUUACUGUAUGUUCUUGCCUCCUUUGUCAUAGAUUAAUUGACCAUAGGUGCGUGGGUUAAUGUCUGGGCUUUCUGUGCUGUUGCACUGAUCUAUAUUUCUGUUUUUGUGUCAGUGCCAUACUGUUGUGAAUAACUGUAGCUUUGUAGUAUAGUCUGAAGUCAUGGAGUCUGAUUACUCCAGUUCCGUUUUUUUCAGCAUUGCUUUGGCUAUUUGGGGUCUUUGGUGUUUCCAUACAAAUUAAAAAAUAUCUUGUUCUACCUCUGUGAAGAAUGUCCUUGAUCAUUUGAUAGGGAUCACACUGAAUCUGUAGAUUGCCUUGGGUAGUAGAGCCAUUUUG